AUGAACGCUGGCGGCGUGCCUAGUACAUGCAAGUCGAGCGCACAGACGAGGAGCUUGCUCCUCUGACGUUAGCGGCGGACGGGUGAGUAACACGUGGAUAACCUACCUAUAAGACUGGGAUAACUUCGGGAAACCGGAGCUAAUACCGGAUAAUAUAUUGAACCGCAUGGUUCAAUAGUGAAAGACGGUUUUGCUGUCACUUAUAGAUGGAUCCGCGCCGCAUUAGCUAGUUGGUAAGGUAACGGCUUUCCAAGGCGACGAUGCGUAGCCGACCUGAGAGGGUGAUCGGCCACACUGGAACUGAGACACGGUCCAGACUCCUACGGGAGGCAGCAGUAGGGAAUCUUCCGCAAUGGGCGAAAGCCUGACGGAGCAACGCCGCGUGAGUGAUGAAGGUCUUCGGAUCGUAAAACUCUGUUAUUAGGGAAGAACAAAUGUGUAAGUAACUAUGCACGUCUUGACGGUACCUAAUCAGAAAGCCACGGCUAACUACGUG
rnacentral:rRNA from 1 species